CUUUUUCAGUUUUCUUCUUUACUGGAAACAGAAGGGUGUUACACUGAGAAACACACUUGACUAGUGCACCUUUUGCCAACAGGCUGUCAACUUGUUUGGAGAUGGCGAGAGCUUGUGCAGGUUUCAAUAGCUAUUGUGGUCUUCGUGGUGGAUUAGCUCCUUUGAUCAAUGUAGCCACCACAGGUGGGACUCGUAGGCGUCCAAUGUCAUCUGGGCCC